GCGCCCUGGGGAGGCAGGUCCUGACUGGUCCUUGGCUUCAGGGACAGCUCGGUCCCUGAGUAGGUCCUGCAGAACAAGACCUGCUGCAGUCGGAGGAUGCCAGCCGGGAAAGGGAACUGCUUACCCUCUACUAGACCUACAAGCAUUCUGUGUGCUUGUCAAAUUUGAAGACAGGACCACAAACAUUCUGGUUUAAAAAUUUCAAGGAGGUUUAACAGUGCUGCCUCUAAAGACAGAUUAUUCAGAAGCAAAUCCCAGGCAUUCAUUUCAGCUGUAAAAAUUCCAUCUCCAUGGAAUCUCCAGAGAAGAAAACAUGUAGAACUCUAAUACCAGCAUCAUACAUCAAAAUACCAGUUUCUUAAU